GCGUAUCUUGGAAUAGUGCCUAUGCAACUUUGCCAAGGUUGGGGUCGAGGGUUCGAAUCCCUUCGCCCGCUCCA
rnacentral:tRNA from 1 species